GUGAAUCAUCAAAUUUUUGAACGCAUAUUGCACUCUUUGGUAUUCCGGAGAGUAUGCCUGUUUGAGGGUCACUUGAAACAAUAUAAAUUUCAAGAUUUCUCGGUGUUUAUAAUGGGUUGCCCAUUUAUUGUGGUCGUUUAAAAUCUAAGACAAGAACAUUUUGUUGGGUUGUGUGAUACUUUUGGUUACCUCGUGAUUUAACCAGGACUCAUCGGGCGUGUUAUGAAUUUCGA
rnacentral:misc_RNA from 1 species